UUGAACUGAAGAGUUUGAUCAUGGCUCAGAUUGAACGCUGGCGGCAGGCCUAACACAUGCAAGUCGAGCGGAUGAAGGGAGCUUGCUCCUGAAUUCAGCGGCGGACGGGU
rnacentral:rRNA from 1 species